rnacentral:rRNA from 1 species
AUGCGGGAGCGGGAGCCGUACCUGCACCACGAGUACCUCGGCAGGUUCCAGGACCCCUUCGGGCGGGCCAUGGUGCGGCCCGGCGAGAAGUUCUCCGAGACGCUGAUGCGGCGGGCCGAGGAGACCGUCAUCGUGGAGAAGAUCCGCGGGGAGCAGAUCAGGAGGGGUGUUGACCCCAGCGAGUGGGUCGGCGGUCCCGUUGAGCGGCCGAUGAUGGGGCAGGAGGAGGAGGAGGAGGAAGAGGAAGAAGAGGAAGAGGAAGAAGAGGAGGAAGAGAACAUCGGCAUGGAGGAGAACACCGAGGCUGAGGUUUGCUUGCUGCCAAUUAGCGGUCUGGCUUGA